AUUGAACGCUGGCGGCAGGCCUAACACAUGCAAGUCGAACGGCAGCAGGGAGCUUGCUCCUGGAUUCAGCGGCGGACGGGUGAGUAAUGCAUCGGAACCUGCCUGGUAGUGGGGGAUAACGUCCGGAAACGGGCGCUAAUACCGCAUACGACCUGAGGGAGAAAGUGGGGGAUCUUCGGACCUUACGCUCUUGGAUGAGCCGAUGUCGGAUUAGCUAGUUGGUGGGGUAAAGGCCUACCAAGGCGACGAUCCGUAGCUGGUCUGAGAGGAUGAUCAGUCACACUGGAACUGAGACACGGUCCAGACUCCUACGGGAGGCAGCAGUGGGGAAUUUUGGACAAUGGGCGAAAGCCUGAUCCAGCCAUGCCGCGUGAGUGAAGAAGGCCUUCGGAUUGUAAAGCACUUUUAUUAGGGAGGAAAGGCUGUAGGUUAAUACCUUGCGGUUUUGACGUUACCAACAGAAUAAGCACCGGCUAACUACGUG
rnacentral:rRNA from 1 species